GUGCUCGCUUUGGCAAUACGUACACUAAAAUUGGAAUGGUACAGAGAAGAUGAUGAGCCUGGCCCCUGCACAAGGAUGACGUGCAAAUUCGGGAAGCGUUCCAGCUUUUU